rnacentral:rRNA from 1 species
UACGAAGGGGGCUAGCGUUGCUCGGAAUGACUGGGCGUAAAGGGCGCGUAGGCGGCUUGCACAGUCAGGCGUGAAAUUCCUGGGCUCAACCUGGGGACUGCGCUUGAGACGUGUGGGCUUGAGUGGGGAAGAGGGUCGUGGAAUUCACAGUGUAGAGGUGAAAUUCGUAGAUAUUGGGAAGAACACCGGUGGCGAAGGCGGCGACCUGGUCCUUGACUGACGCUGAGGCGCGAAAGCGUGGGGAGCAAACAGG